UACGUAGGCAGCAAGCGUUGUUCGGAGUUACUGGGCGUAAAGAGUGUGUAGGCGGUUCUCUAAGUUCGGUGUGAAAUCUCCCGGCUCAACUGGGAGGGUGCGCCGGAAACUGGAGGGCUUGAGUAUGGGAGAGGAAAGCGGAAUUCCUGGUGUAGCGGUGAAAUGCGUAGAGAUCGGAAAGAACACCAACGGCGAAAGCACUCUGCUGGGCCGACACUGACACUGAGAGACGAAAGCUAGGGGAGCGAAUGGG
rnacentral:rRNA from 1 species